GUAGGGAAUAUUGGACAAUGGGCGAAAGCCUGAUCCAGCCAUGCCGCGUGAUAGAUGAAGGCCCUCUGGGUUGUAAAUAUCUUUUAUCUGGGAAGAAACUCCUCUAUUCUUAGAGGCCUGACGGUACCAGAGGAAUAAGCACCGGCUAACUCCGUGCCAGCAGCCGCGGUAAUACGGAGGGUGCAAGCGUUAUCCGGAUUCACUGGGUUUAAAGGGUGCGUAGACGGGUUGAUAAGUCAGUGGUGAAAGCUCCGGGCUUAACUUGGAAACUGCCAUUGAUACUGUCAAUCUUGAAUGUCGUAGAGGUAAGCGGAAUGUUGCAUGUAGCGGUGAAAUGCUUAGAUAUGUUACAGAACACCAAUUGCGAAGGCAGCUUACUAUGCGAUAAUUGACGCUGAGGCACGAAAGCGUGGGGAGCAAACAGGAUUAGAAACCCGAGUAGUCC
rnacentral:rRNA from 1 species